rnacentral:rRNA from 1 species
UCCUACGGGGGGCAGCAGUGGGGAAUUUUGGACAAUGGGCGCAAGCCUGAUCCAGCAAUGCCGCGUGCAGGAUGAAGGCCUUCGGGUUGUAAACUGCUUUUGUACGGAACGAAACGGUUCGCUUUAAUACAGUGGGCUAAUGACGGUACCGUAAGAAUAAGCACCGGCUAACUACGUGCCAGCAGCCGCGGUAAUACGUAGGGUGCGAGCGUUAAUCGGAAUUACUGGGCGUAAAGCGUGCGCAGGCGGUUUUGUAAGACAGAUGUGAAAUCCCCGGGCUCAACCUGGGACCUGCAUUUGUGACUGCAAGGCUAGAGUACGGUAGAGGGGGAUGGAAUUCCGCGUGUAGCAGUGAAAUGCGUAGAUAUGCGGAGGAACACCGAUGGCGAAGGCAAUCCCCUGGACCUGUACUGACGCUCAUGCACGAAAGCGUGGGGAGCAAACAGGAUUAGAUACCCCGGUAGUCC